rnacentral:rRNA from 1 species
AUUGAACGCUGGCGGCAUGCUUUACACAUGCAAGUCGAACGGUAACAGGCCGCAAGGUGCUGACGAGUGGCGAACGGGUGAGUAAUGCAUCGGAACGUGCCCAGUCGUGGGGAUAACGCAGCGAAAGCUGCGCUAAUACCGCAUACGAUCUGCGGAUGAAAGCGGGGGACCUUCGGGCCCCGCGCGAUUGGAGCGGCCGAUGUCAGAUUAGGUAGUUGGUGGGGUAAAGGCUCACCAAGACAACGAUCUGUAGCUGGUCUGAGAGGACGACCAGCCACACUGGGACUGAGACACGGCCCAGACUCCUACGGGAGGCAGCAGUGGGGAAUUUUGGACAAUGGGCGCAAGCCUGAUCCAGCAAUGCCGCGUGCAGGAAGAAGGCCUUCGGGUUGUAAACUGCUUUUGUACGGAGCGAAAAGGCUCCCUCUAAUACAGGGGGCUCAUGACGGUACCGUAAGAAUAAGCACCGGCUAACUACGUGCCAGCAGCCGCCGUAACAC